rnacentral:rRNA from 1 species
UACGGAGGGUGCAAGCGUUAAUCGGAAUUACUGGGCGUAAAGCGUGCGCAGGCGGUGAUGUAAGACCGAUGUGAAAUCCCCGGGCUUAACCUGGGAACUGCAUUGGUGACUGCAUUGCUGGAGUAUGGCAGAGGGGGGUGGAAUUCCACGUGUAGCAGUGAAAUGCGUAGAGAUGUGGAGGAACACCGAUGGCGAAGGCAGCCCCCUGGGCCAAUACUGACGCUCAUGCACGAAAGCGUGGGGAGCAAACAGG